rnacentral:rRNA from 1 species
CUACGGGUUGCUCCAGUGGGGAAUAUUGCACAAUGGGCGCAAGCCUGAUGCAGCCAUGCCGCGUGUAUGAAGAAGGCCUUCGGGUUGUAAAGUACUUUCAGCGGGGAGGAAGGGAGUAAAGUUAAUACCUUUGCUCAUUGACGUUACCCGCAGAAGAAGCACCGGCUAACUCCGUGCCAGCAGCCGCGGUAAUACGGAGGGUGCAAGUGUUAAUCGGAAUUACUGGGCGUAAAGCGCACGCAGGCGGUUUGUUAAGUCAGAUGUGAAAUCCCCGGGCUCAACCUGGGAACUGCAUCUGAUACUGGCAGGCUUGAGUCUCGUAGAGGGGGGUAGAAUUCCAGGUGUAGCGGUGAAAUGCGUAGAGAUCUGGAGGAAUACCGGUGGCGAAGGCGGCCCCCUGGACGAAGACUGACGCUCAGGUGCGAAAGCGUGGGGAGCAAACAGGAUUAGAUACCCCAGUAGUC